UAAAGGCCUACCAAGGCGACGAUCGAUAGCUGGUCUGAGAGGAUGAUCAGCCACACUGGGACUGAGACACGGCCCAGACUCCUACGGGAGGCAGCAGUGGGGAAUAUUGGACAAUGGGCGCAAGCCUGAUCCAGCAAUGCCGCGUGUGUGAAGAAGGCCUUCGGGUUGUAAAGCACUUUUAUCAGGAGCGAAAUACCACGGGUUAAUACCCUAUGGGGCUGACGGUACCUGAGGAAUAAGCACCGGCUAACUUCGUGCCAGCAGCCGCGGUAAUACGAAGGGUGCAAGCGUUAAUCGGAAUUACUGGGCGUAAAGCGUGCGUAGGUGGUUUUUUAAGUCUGCUGUGAAAUCCCCGGGCUCAACCUGGGAAUGGCAGUGGAUACUGGAAAGCUAGAGUGUGAGAGAGGAUGGUGGAAUUCCCGGUGUAGCGGUGAAAUGCGUAGAGAUCGGGAGGAACAUCAGUGGCGAAGGCGGCCAUCUGGCUCAAC
rnacentral:rRNA from 1 species